UACGGGAGGCAGCAGUGGGGAAUAUUGCACAAUGGGCGAAAGCCUGAUGCAGCUAUGCCGCGUGUAUGAAGAAGGCCUUAGGGUUGUAAAGUACUUUCAUCGGGGAGGAAAAACAAACUAAUAAUUUUAUUUCUUGACGUCACCCGAAAAAGAAGCACCGGCUAACUCCGUGCCAGCAGCCGCGGUAAUACGGAGGGUGCUAGCGUUAAUCAGAAUUACUGGGCGUAAAGAGCACGUAGGUGGUUUUUUUAAGUCAGAUGUGAAAUCCCUGGGCUUAACCUAGGAACUGCAUUUUGAAACUGAAAUACUAGAGUAUCGUAGAGGGAGGUAGAAUUCUAGGUGUAGCGGUGAAAUGCGUAGAUAUCUGGAGGAAUACCUGUGGCGAAAGCGGCCUCCUAAACGAAUACUGACACUGAGGUGCGAAAGCGUGGGGAGCAAACAGGGAUUAGAUACC
rnacentral:rRNA from 1 species